rnacentral:rRNA from 1 species
UACGUAGGCAGCAAGCGCUGUUCGGAGUUACUGGGCGUAAAGAGUCUGUAGGCGGUGCUCUAAGUUUGGUGUGAAAUCUCCCGCUUAACCGGGAGGGUGCGCCGAAGACUGGGGUGCUCGGAGUACGGGAGAGGAAAGCGGAAUUCCUGGUGUAGCGGUGAAAUGCGUAGAUAUCUGGAGGAACACCGGUGGCGAAGGCGGCAUCCUGGACCGGCAUUGACGCUGAGGCGCGAAAGCCAGGGAGCAAAGCGGG